UACGUAGGUGGCAAGCGUUGUCCGGAUUUACUGGGCGUAAAGAGCGCGCAGGCGGUCGUUCAAGUCGCGUGUGAAAGCCCCCGGCUCAACUGGGGAGGGUCACGCGAUACUGAUCGACUCGAAGGCAGGAGAGGGUAGUGGAAUUCCCGGUGUAGUGGUGAAAUGCGUAGAGAUCGGGAGGAACACCAGUGGCGAAGGCGACUACCUGGACCAGCACUGACACUGAGGCACGAAAGCGUGGGGAGCAAACAGG
rnacentral:rRNA from 1 species